GACGAACGCUGGCGGCGUGCUUAACACAUGCAAGUCGAACGGUAAGGCCCUUCGGGGUACACGAGUGGCGAACGGGUGAGUAACACGUGGGUGAUCUGCCCUGCACUUCGGGAUAAGCCUGGGAAACUGGGUCUAAUACCGGAUAGGACCACUGCCUGCAUGGGUGGUGGUGGAAAGCUUUUGCGGUGUGGGAUGGGCCCGCGGCCUAUCAGCUUGUUGGUGGGGUGAUGGCCUACCAAGGCGACGACGGGUAGCCGGCCUGAGGGGGUGACCGGCCACACUGGGACUGAGAUACGGCCCAGACUCCUACGGGAGGCAGCAGUGGGGAAUAUUGCACAAUGGGCGCAAGCCUGAUGCAGCGACGCCGCGUGAGGGAUGACGGCCUUCGGGUUGUAAACCUCUUUCAGCACCGACGAAGCGCAAGUGACGGUAGGUGCAGAAGAAGGACCGGCCAACUACGUGCCAGCCGCCGCCAGUAA
rnacentral:rRNA from 1 species